AAUAUUUUUCGCGAGAAGAAAUUACUAAUCAAAAGUACGAUUCCUACCUUAAAAUCGAGAACUUUUGCGAGUUGCUCUCUCUCUUUCUCUCUCUGAGAGAUGUUUGCUGCGAAAAAAUAUUAUUCAGAGUAACUUAACUUAGAAUUUUACUUUCAAAUAUAUUCGUACUCCGACCGUCGAAAGAUUACCAAGAGGACCAUUCAACGAUGGGCCGGAACCAUCCAUCAGAGGUCCGAUAGAGCAUCAAGGAUGCUGGAUGUGGUGGAGCGAAGAUACCAGGGAACGAGAAAUCUCGAAAUAACAAAAGAC